rnacentral:rRNA from 1 species
GACGAACGCUGGCGGCGUGCCUAAUACAUGCAAGUAGAACGCUGAAGGAGGAGCUUGCUCUUCUGGAUGAGUUGCGAACGGGUGAGUAACGCGUAGGUAACCUGCCUGGUAGCGGGGGAUAACUAUUGGAAACGAUAGCUAAUACCGCAUAACAGUAGAUAUCGCAUGAUAGCUACUUGAAAGGUGCAAUUGCACCACUACCAGAUGGACCUGCGUUGUAUUAGCUAGUUGGUGAGGUAACGGCUCACCAAGGCAACGAUACAUAGCCGACCUGAGAGGGUGAUCGGCCACACUGGGACUGAGACACGGCCCAGACUCCUACGGGAGGCAGCAGUAGGGAAUCUUCGGCAAUGGACGGAAGUCUGACCGAGCAACGCCGCGUGAGUGAAGAAGGUUUUCGGAUCGUAAAGCUCUGUUGUAAGAGAAGAACGAGUGUGAGAGUGGAAAGUUCACACUGUGACGGUAUCUUACCAGAAAGGGACGGCUAACUACGUGCCAGCAGCCGCGGUAAUACGUAGGUCCCGAGCGUUGUCCGGAUUUAUUGGGCGUAAAGCGAGCGCAGGCGGUUAGAUAAGUCUGAAGUUAAAGGCUGUGGCUUAACCAUAGUACGCUUUGGAAACUGUUUAACUUGAGUGCAAGAGGGGAGAGUGGAAUUCCAUGUGUAGCGGUGAAAUGCGUAGAUAUAUGGAGGAACACCGGUGGCGAAAGCGGCUCUCUGGCUUGUAACUGACGCUGAGGCUCGAAAGCGUGGGGAGCAAACAGG